rnacentral:lncRNA from 10 species
CUGUAGUCAACAAAGUUAGGCUGAUUAACGCCACAGCAAGGGAAACUGCACGCUGUGGGGAAGCUUGAGGCAUCUCAAAAGGGUGGAUUAAGACAAGGGCACCCAAUAAAGCUUUGGGGGCUGGAGUUAGUCACAGGAUGGUGUUGGCAGGAUUUCAUCAGAUUCUGUAAACUGGGGAGUUUCUGGAAAAGUAAGUGGUCUUAUCUUUGGGAUUCACAAGUCUGUGUGGAGUUACUGACAGGUCAAUUUCUCUAUGGUCUUAUCUGGGAACAAAUGGGCCUGAAAGAGCUGGUGUUUCAAGGUUUGAACUUAGAUCGUCUGUGAUGCCCACCACGGUGUGGUCGGGAGAAAUUGGCCUGCUUCGAAACUGAGGCUUAUGUUUUGAAAAUUGUGGUUUCUGUUUUCAUUCUCGGUCCCUGUCAUCUCUCUGCCAACAUGAACCCCAGUCUGCCAGUCUACCUUUUUCAUUUACUCACUAUUUUUCUAUCCCAUCGUUAUGGUUAUUCUACUGACAUGCUACAUGUAACAUAAAGAGCCCUACAGCUGCAUAACCUCCUGAGAGAGGGCUUCUUUAGUUUGCAAUGGAGAACUGGAGAUGGUGCUCAUUCACAGAUAUCUAACACUCGGAACCGGAAGACAGUAAAGGUCAUAAAUGAUGUACCUUUUACAUCUGGCAGAGGGCCAGGACAGUUCUGGGGUUCAUAUUUCUCUCCUUCUCUACUCUGAGGUUUAUACGGCCCCCCCACCGCCCCCAAGGUAAGUGUUUCUAAAGUUCUCAUGGAUUUCCUGUUAGAAUCCAACAAGUUGCAUUUACUGCUUUUCAAUCUUCAGCAUCUUCUUUGUGGCUGGGGUAAAGAAGCUCACUGUGGACUCUCAUUCAGUCUUGGGUGCAUUGGGCAACCUCUGGGAAAAGCACUGCUCUGAUGAACAGGGGAAUGAAUGACCACUGCCACACAGGCAGGUUUGGGGAGCUGCAGGCCAUCCUGUUCGGUGCUGGUGUGCUAGCUAUGGGGGUAAACAAAGGCAAAGAGGUUCUCAGGUCGGGGUGGUGGGUGGAUAGAGAGAGGAAUGUGAAAGAGAGAGAUCUAAACAGAAAAGCUUGCCAGAAAUUCAGAAAAAAAAAACCCACCUUUUAAUUCUGUAGUUCCCAAUAUUCACAGCUGUUAUAAAGCUCACAUUUGGGCUAAUUCCACAAGUUAUUAAUCAUCCACUGCUCGCUAUAUUGGACUUGUGGAUCACAUCAGAGCUCCACAAGCAAUUAAAAGUCCUCCUUUGCUUGUGAAAUGGCCUAACUAUAAAUCUCAGGAGGGUCAGCCCUGUUCUUCACCUGAGAUACCUGGAAGUCAUGCUGACCUCCACUCAUCCAUCCCAUGAACAGGUCGAAGGAUUUGGCAACAUGCUGAACAAGCUUUGUCCUGGGUCCUUGGGAGGGGUUGGAGGUGGGGCGAGGCAGUACUAUGGUCUCUUUCAUAAGUAAACCUUUGCAGUCUCUAAUAUUUUAUACUAUCUCUUUCAUUCACACUUAAAAUAGUAUGAGGAACCUACUUCGUGUCCUGCCAUGCCAGGCAUGGAUGAUUCUGAGAUGAAUAAAACACAGUCCUUGCCCUGGGGAAGCUAAUGGUCGGGGUAAGAAACAGGCACGUCAAAGCUUACAAUUUAGUGUCAUCGUUGCUGUACAGAUGGAGGCACUAAGUCCUGUGCGGUCAUGACAAAGGAUGCAAGUAACUCUACGUGUUGGGCCAUAAGAAAAGGCUUUGUAGAGAGAAGGUCUAUGCAACUCAGGCUUUUACCAGUACAAGGGAUUUCAGCAGGAGAAAAGUCUGGAGGGAGAAGCUAUGAAGCAGAGGGAACCACAGUGCACACAGAGGCAUGGAAGAUUCCCGAAGACAGUGGCUGCAGCAGAGGGUGUCUGGCAAGAGAGGAUGGAGUUGAGGCUGGAAAGCUGCAGUGUAGGAAGAGGUUGUUGCCAUGUGUGUAUAUUUUCUGCAGAAGAAAAGAAAAGCACUACUUCUAGGGUGAUAUUAUGUUGUAUGUAGAGAAAACUCUGGGACACCAUGCAGAAGUGGGAUGUGGGAUAGAAAACUUAGGCUGGAGAACUGAUGCUAUUAACUGUAAAUUCCAUUUCAUUAUCAGCAACAAAUAUUUAUGCAGCCUCUGGAGGGAAGGAAGUCCCACAGUCAGUGAUGAGUGGAAGAUACAGAGGCCAAACAAAAGGCACAGUCCUUGAGUCAUUGUGUUUGCAAUUUAAGAUGCACACACUGGGAUGAAACACAAGAGAAUGAAUAGUGAGACAGAUGUAACGCUUUUGCUAAACAACUCUUAUCUACAAAGCUUUGCUAUGCUUUUGUAUUUUGUUGGCAUCUUAGCACAUUGGCUUUCAAAUGUUUUUGACCAUAACCAAAAGUUAGAAAUAUAUUUUCAUGCCAUGAUCCAGAAUCCAUAAAAAAAUUUCACCGAGUACUAUUGAGAUACACUCUGAUAUUUUACAGGCUAUUACGUUUUAAUUUUUUUUUAAUGCUGGUUUCUGACCCUCUAAAUUGAUUCUGUGACCCACUGUUGGGUUAUAACUGUUGGCUUGAAAAUUCCGGCUUUCCCAUGUCUUGGAGGGGGAAAUGUUGGAGGAAAUGGAACAGAUGGGGGAGUGAAAGAGUGAGCGUGACUGCAGUGAGGGAAGGGACCGCAUGAGCAAUUGCCACAUCAAAUUCCCAUGACCAAAGAGGGCACUAAAUGAACAGGGCCCAGCCUGGGCCACAUAGUGAGACUCUGCCUCUACAAAAAAAAAAUAUCUAUCUAUCUAUCUAUCUAUCUAUAUAUA